UACGUAGGGGGCAAGCGUUAUCCGGAAUUACUGGGUGUAAAGGGUGCGUAGGUGGUAUGGCAAGUCAGAAGUGAAAACCCAGGGCUUAACUCUGGGACUGCUUUUGAAACUGUCAGACUGGAGUGCAGGAGAGGUAAGCGGAAUUCCUAGUGUAGCGGUGAAAUGCGUAGAUAUUAGGAGGAACAUCAGUGGCGAAGGCGGCUUACUGGACUGAAACUGACACUGAGGCACGAAAGCGUGGGGAGCAAACAGGAUUAGAUACCCCGGUACGGCUACUGACU
rnacentral:rRNA from 1 species